UUUCCGUAGGUGAACCUGCGGAAGGAUCAUUAUUGUAUAACCGAGGUGCGAGGGCUGUCGCUGACCCGAAAGGUCGUGCACGUCCGAGUGCCCUCACACACAUCCAUCUCACCCCUGUGUGCACCACCGCGUGGGUCCCCCUUUGGCUUGUUCGGAGGGGGGCUUACGUUUUCACACAAACUUUGUAUGCAGUGUAGAAUGUAUUUUUUGUUUUUGCGAUCACGCAAUCAAUACAACUUUCAACAACGGAUCUCUUGGCUCUC
rnacentral:misc_RNA from 1 species